GGCCGCUUGGUCUAGUAGUAUGAUUCCUGUUUUGGGAUUACAGGAGGUCGCGAGUUCAAUUCUCGCAGCGGCCC
rnacentral:tRNA from 1 species